rnacentral:rRNA from 1 species
CCUACGUGAGGCAGCAGUGGGGAAUAUUGCACAAUGGGGGCAACCCUGAUGCAGCGACGCCGCGUGAGUGAAGCAGUAAUUCGUUAUGUAAAGCUCUAUCCGCAGGGAAGAAAAUGACGGUACCUGAGUAAGAAGCCCCGGCUAACUACGUGCCAGCAGCCGCGGUAAUACGUAGGGGGCAAGCGUUAUCCGGAUUUACUGGGUGUAAAGGGAGCGUAGACGGCAGUGCAAGUCUGGAGUGAAAGGCGGGGGCUCAACCCCCGGACUGCUCUGGAAACUGUACGGCUGGAGUGCAGGAGAGGUAAGUGGAAUUCCUAGUGUAGCGGUGAAAUGCGUAGAUAGGAGGAGGAACACCAGUGGCGAAGGCGGCUUACUGGAAUGUAACUGACGUUGAGGCUCGAAAGCGUGGGGAGCAAACAGGAUUAGAUACCCGAGUAGUC